AAUCAACGCUGGCGGCGUGCCUCAGACAUGCAAGUCGAACGAUUAAAGCUCUCUUCGGAGAGUGUAUAGAGUGGCGCACGGGUGAGUAACACGUAAGUAAUCUACCUUUGAGUGGGGAAUAACAUCGGGAAACCGAUGCUAAUACCGCAUAAUGCAGCGGCAUCGCAAGAUGACAGUUGUUAAAGAUUUAUCGCUUGAAGAGGAGCUUGCGGCAGAUUAGCUAGUUGGUAAGGUAAUGGCUUACCAAGGCUACGAUCUGUAACCGGUCUAAGAGGACGGUCGGUCACACUGACAUUGAAUAACGGGUCAGACUCCUACGGGAGGCAGCAGUCGGGAAUUUUGGGCAAUGGGCGAAAGCCUGACCCAGCAACGCCGCGUGAAGGAUGAAGUAUUUCGGUAUGUAAACUUCGAAAGAAUGGGAAGAAUAAAUGACGGUACCAUUUAU
rnacentral:rRNA from 1 species